AUACGUAGGGUGCGAGCGUUGUCCGGAAUUACUGGGCGUAAAGAGCUCGUAGGUGGUUUGUCGCGUCGUCUGUGAACUUCCGGGGCCUAACUCCGGGCGUGCAGGCGAUACGGGCAUAACUUGAGUACUGUAGGGGAGACUGGAAUUCCUGGUGUAGCGGUGAAAUGCGCAGAUAUCAGGAGGAACACCGGUGGCGAAGGCGGGUCUCUGGGCAGUAACUGACGCUGAGGAGCGAAAGCAUGGGUAGCGAACAGGAUUAGAUACCCUGGUAGUCCAUGCCGUAAACGGUGGGCGCUAGGUGUAGGGGUCUUCCACGACUUCUGUGCCGUAGCUAACGCAUUAAGCGCCCCGCCUGGGGAGUACGGCCGCAAGGCUAAAACUCAAAGGAAUCGACGGGG
rnacentral:rRNA from 1 species